rnacentral:rRNA from 1 species
AUGAAGCCAGCUUGCUGGUGGAUUAGUGGCGAACGGGUGAGUAACACGUGAGUAACCUGCCCUUAACUCUGGGAUAAGCCUGGGAAACUGGGUCUAAUACCGGAUAUGACUCCUCAUCGCAUGGUGGGGGGUGGAAAGCUUUUUGUGGUUUUGGAUGGACUCGCGGCCUAUCAGCUUGUUGGUGAGGUAAUGGCUCACCAAGGCGACGACGGGUAGCCGGCCUGAGAGGGUGACCGGCCACACUGGGACUGAGACACGGCCCAGACUCCUACGGGAGGCAGCAGUGGGGAAUAUUGCACAAUGGGCGCAAGCCUGAUGCAGCGACGCCGCGUGAGGGAUGACGGCCUUCGGGUUGUAAACCUCUUUCAGUAGGGAAGAAGCGAAAGUGACGGUACCUGCAGAAGAAGCGCCGGCUAACUACGUGCCAGCAGCCGCGGUAAUACGUAGGGCGCAAGCGUUAUCCGGAAUUAUUGGGCGUAAAGAGCUCGUAGGCGGUUUGUCGCGUCUGCCGUGAAAGUCCGGGGCUCAACUCCGGAUCUGCGGUGGGUACGGGCAGACUAGAGUGAUGUAGGGGAGACUGGAAUUCCUGGUGUAGCGGUGAAAUGCGCAGAUAUCAGGAGGAACACCGAUGGCGAAGGCAGGUCUCUGGGCAUUAACUGACGCUGAGGAGCGAAAGCAUGGGGAGCGAACAGGAUUAGAUACCCUGGUAGUCCAUGCCGUAAACGUUGGGCACUAGGUGUGGGGGACAU